CGGGUUGAUCCUGCCGGACCUGACUGCUAUCGGAUUGAUACUAAGCAUGCGAGUCAUUGUAGCAAUACAAGGCAGACGGCUCAGUAACGCGUAGUCAACCUAACCUAUGGACGGGAAUAACCUCGGGAAACUGAGAAUAAUGCCCGAUAGAACACUAUGCCUGGAAUGGUUUGUGUUCCAAAUGAUUUAUCGCCGUAGGAUGGGACUGCGGCCUAUCAGUUUGUUGGUGAGGUAAUGGCCCACCAAGACUAUUACAGGUACGGGCUCUGAGAGGAGUAGCCCGGAGAUGGGUACUGAGACACGGACCCAGGCCCUAUGGGGCGCAGCAGGCGAGAAAACUUCGCAAUGUGCGAAAGCACGACAAGGUUAAUCCGAGUGGUUUCUGCUAAAGGAACCUUUUGUCGGUCCUAGAAACACCGAUGAAUAAGGGGUGGGCAAGUUCUGGUGUCAGCCGCCGCGGUAAAACCAGCACCUCAAGUGGUCAGGAUGAUUAUUGGGCCUAAAGCAUCCGUAGCCUGCCUUGUUAGUUUUCGGUUAAAUCUAUGCGCUCAACGUAUAGGCUGCCGGGAAUACUGCAAAGCUAGGGAGUGGGAGAGGUAGACGGUACUCGGUAGGAAGGGGUAAAAUCCUUUGAUCUAUUGAUGACCACCUGUGGCGAAGGCGGUCUACCAGAACACGUCCGACGGUGAGGGAUGAAAGCUGGGGGAGCAAACCGGAUUAGAUACCCGGGUAGUCCCAGCCGUAAACCAUGCAAACUCAGUGAUGCAUUGGCUUGUGGCCAAUGCAGUGCUGCAGGGAAGCCGUUAAGUUUGCCGCCUGGGAAGUACGUACGCAAGUAUGAAACUUAAAGGAAUUGGCGGGGGAGCACCACAAGGGGUGAAGCCUGCGGUUCAAUUGGAGUCAACGCCGGG
rnacentral:rRNA from 1 species